AGCAGCCGCGGUAAUUCCAGCUCCAAUAGCGUAUAUUAAAGUUGUUGCAGUUAAAAAGCUCGUAGUUGAAUUUCGGGGUUAGUAGGUUGGUCAUGCCUCUGGUAUGUACUGGUCUCACUGAUUCCUCCUUCCUGAUGAGCCGUAAUGCCAUUAAUUUGGUGUUGCGGGGAAUUUGGACUGUUACUUUGAAAAAAUUAGAGUGUUUAAAGCAAGCUAACGCUUGAAUACAUUAGCAUGGAAUAAUGAAAUAGGACGUUUGAUUCUAUUUUGUUGGUUUCUAGGAUCGACGUAAUGAUUAAUAGGGAUAGUUGGGGGCAUUAGUAUUCAAUUGUCAGAGGUGAAAUUCUUGGAUUUAUUGAAGACUAACUACUGCGAAAGCAUUUGCCAAGGAUGUUUUCAUUAAUCAAGAACGAAAGUUAGGGGAUCGAAGACGAUCAGAUACCGUCGUAGUCUUAACCAUAAACUAUGCCGACUAGGGAUCGGAUGAUGUUAAUUUUUAAUGACUCUAGUCGGCCGUACC
rnacentral:rRNA from 1 species